rnacentral:lncRNA from 1 species
ACAAGUCCAAAUAUAUAAGUUCACAAAUUCACAUAAGUCCAAAUACAUAAGUUCACAAAUUCACACAAGUUCACAUCCAUAGUUCACAUUUUUAGUUCACAAGUUCAAACAUUAACUCCAUCGCUCUCGAUCAGGACAUCGGAUUGUUGUUCGUAGCUCCACCACUAGAAUUGAGACAUCUGUCCGCAAAGUCAAUGUGAGGGGGAGGAGUCACUUGAUGAGAGCCGGAAUCCUACAAAAUAAAUCAAAAUUCUCAUAAAUACACAACUGGCAUUAAAUCACAUGUACACAAAGAUAUAGGAAAGCAUGAUAAACACAAAAUGUGGCUUCCAUAUUUGUGCAUGAACAUGAACAUGAGAGUGAAAACAGACUUCAUUUCAAGACGCAGCACCGUGUUAUUUAAAAUGAUGCAUAGUGCAAAGGAUCCGCGAUGUUAACUGUCCAAGAAACUACUUUGGAAAUUCAGACUUAGACGCUAUUCCAAAUCUGAAAAUUCAGAAUUCAGCCACCUAACAGUCCAAAGCAUGUCACAAUAAAACAGCUCUCACAACACUAAAUUUUAAAUUCACUAAAGCAUGUUAGGCGCUGGAAGAUGCAAAGUGAUGUAACAAAGAGAGGGAAGUUUCAGUAGGGUCUAACAACCUUCCUCACCAUGUCAGGCGCUGGAAGAUUUACAGAUUGGAAACGACUGACUAGGCAUGUAAAGUCUUAACAUAAAUAUAGCAAAAGAGCAUAUAACUAAAACAACUGACUGCGUAUGUAAAGUCUUAACAUAAAUAUAGCAGUUCAAUGUCUCAAAUAUAUGGCAUCAAAUCCUCCAAGGUACAACGAUUUAACAAUGACUUACCAGUUGCUUACAAAGUUUUUGGAAGCCACACAACUUGACCAGACCCUCUUAACAGCUGAGCAUCAUAUUGAGAACACCAUGGUAAACGGCUCGCUCA